rnacentral:lncRNA from 1 species
CAGGAAUUAAUCAACCUCGCCUUCAAGGUGUACAAUAACAGAGAGGAGGCAGCCAGACAGCAACGCAUUUCUGAGUUACAAUUACUUGCCUCUGCUAUGAGACAAAACCCAGCCACACCUCCAGCACACAAGAACUUCAAAAUGCCUAAGCUGCACAAGCCUAAGCCGCACACGCCUAAGCCGCAGCAGUCAAGCAUUCCUACAGGACUUCCUCCAACAGGAUCUUGCUUCAAGUGCCAGAAAUCUGGCCACUGGGCCAAGGAAUGCCCGCAGCCCGGAAUUCCUCCCAAGCCAUGUCCCAUCUGUGCAGGGACCCACUGGAAAUCAGACUGCCCAGCUCUCCCGGCAGCCACUUCUAGAGCCCCUAAAGCUCUAGCCCAAGGCUCUCUGACUGACUCCUUCCCAGAUCUGCUCGGCUUAGUGGUUGAAGACUGAUGCGGCCUGAUCACCUUGGAAACCCCCUGGACCAUCACGGAUGCCGAGCUUCGGGUAACUCUCACAGUGGAGGGCUAUACAGGAGGCAUGGCACCAGCAUCUGCUCAGCUUCUGGGGAGCCCUCAGGAAGCUUCCAAUCAUGGUGGAAGGUGAAGAGGGAGCUGUCAUCUCACAUCGUGAGAGCAGGAACAAGAGUCUGAGGGACUUCUACACUGCUGGUGUGAAUGUAAACUAGUACAACCACUACGGAAAACAGUGUGGAGAAAAGUAGAACUACAAUUUGAUCCAGCAAUCCCACUACUGGGCAUCUACCCAGAGGAAAAGAAGUCAUUAUAUGAAAAAGAUACUUGCACAUGCAUGUUUAUAGCAGCGCAAUUUUCAAUUGCAAAAACGUGGAACCAACCCAAAUGCCCACCGAUUAACAAGUGGAUAAAGAAACUGUGGUGUAUAUAUGAUAGAAUACUACUCAGCCAUAAAUGGAAUGAAUUAAUGGCAUUUACAGUGACCUGGAUGAGACUGGAGACUAUUAUUCUAAGUGAAGUAACUCAGGGAUGGAAAACCAAACAUCAUAUUCUUUCACUCCUAUGAGGAUGCAAAGGUAUAGGAAUGACACAAUAGACUUUGGGGACUCAGGGGAAAGGUGGGAAGGGGGUGAGGGAUAAAAGACUACAAAUUGGGUGCAGUAUGUACUGCUUGGGUGAUGGGUGCACCAAAAUCUCACAAGUCACCACCAAAGAACUUACUCAUGUAAUCAAAUACCAUCUGCUCCCCAAUAACGUACGGAAAUAAAAAAAAUUAAAAAAAAGAGUCUGAAGGGGAAGAUGCCACACACUCUUAAACAGCCAGAUCUUGCAAUAACUCACUCACUAUUGCAAGGAUAGCAUGAAGAGGACGGCGCUAAACCAUUCUUGAGAAAUCCACCUCCAUGAUACAAUCACCUCCCACCACGGCCCACCUCCAACACUGGGGAUUACAAUUUAACGUGAGACGUAGAGAGGACAACAUCCAAACUAUAUCAAUAGUAUUUGUUGCAUUUUUUUGCAUUUCCUAAUAAAAACUUAAAUAUGUGAGCUAUCCAAACAAACAUAUCCAAAUGGGCCCCAAUAUUUAUAACUUAUAAUAUGGUAGUGACUCAUGAGGAAGAAAUGAUAGGGGCAGGAGGGCAUUUGAGAAGGCAACAGUGUACAGGGCUCUGCAGGAGGCCCUGAGGUCACACAGUACACUGGAAAAGACUCCAGACUCCCUGGGAUGGAGGCUGCAGGGAUGGGGAAGAAAAGUGGAUCCAGGAGGCCUGGGUUCUAGUCUUCCUCCACAGCUAAAAACUUAGUGCUCUGGACAAGCCCUUCAUCUCCCUGGGCCUCAGGUGUCUCAUCUAUAAAAUGAGCAUGCUUGGACCUUAUCUGGAAGAAAUGCUUUCCUGAUGUUCUUUCCAGGGCUUGCCAUGCUUAUUUCUUGCACUCUAGGAUUAAGGACAAGUAUUUUCAGUUCUCCCUACUACUGGCUGGCUGUGUGAGCCAUUUCUCUGCAAACAGGAGUAUUCUUGCUGUUCCUCUGGUCAAUCCAGAAGCUCAUGGGAAAGUGCUCUGCAAUCUUGAACAGGAAGCAAGGAAUGUGUCAUCCCUACUAAGAUCACCUUUCCUCUUCUCCUGUUCUCAGAGAUCCCCAGAAGCACCCCUGGGUCAACAGCCACCUUUGCCGGUAUUGACUGGGAAGAGUCCCCAAGAGUGGUAUUGGGUCCAGGCAGUUGUAGCACAUGAACCCUUGUGAGUGGAGGUUGACCUUCAGGAUGGUGGUGCUCACCCCGCUGAAGGAUUCUGGGCAAACUAAGCAAAGGGUUAGUUUACAAUUUUCCCUCCUGGUUUUUUUUUUUUUUUUUCCCUUGGAGGCUUAAAGAAGAACAAAUUCUUAUCCGCAGUAUCCUGUUCCCAGACUCCCAUCUUCUUGCCUCCCCAUGGGUCCUUAGCCUCCCUUAAAUCCUUUAGAAAAGAGCUGGCUCCCAGAAGAUACGGGGAGAACUGCAAUUUGCCCUUUUCCAAAGCCUAUCAUUCAUUCUGGGUCUUUUUCUCAUCCCCUCGCUUCCAGUUCUAAUUUGGUGCCUGGGGCCGCUCUCUUCUUGAAUGAUUAGAACCAGAGGGCAAUCAAAAAGAAACGAACUUAAUGCAGAGGAGAGAGGGGAGCCAGCAGCUUUGGGGACAUUUCUCUUCCCUCAAGGGAUGAGGUAGAUUUUCCUAAAUCUAUAAUUAACAAGAUGAAAAAAGACACUUCAAGAAUUCAUAACUCUCGGAAAAUACUCCAGUUUGGGAAACACUGGUCUGGAACUUGUGGUGAGUCAGCUCUUGAUUCGUGAAGACAGAGAUGCACAGUUACCACAUUGAGAAGAUAGUAGAUGAUGUAAACCCAUUGGAGAAAUGGAAACUUUCCCAUGGGAAAGGCUGCAUGGGUGGAGGAAGCAGUCCUCUGGUGGAAUAGAAUGAUAACAUACCAUUCAUCACAGCCCCAGUGAGUGGCCUGAUUGAUCCACAAAGACAUUCUCCUUUGCAUCCUCUGGGACAAGAACU